rnacentral:misc_RNA from 1 species
AACGCAAAUUGCACUCUCUGGCAACCCGGGGAGUAUGCCUGUUUGAGGGUCAGUGUUAAUAAAAAUCGGUGCGUUGCAAAUUUUUUUGUGAUGUUUCCGGAGUUUGAGUUAUCUUAAUUUAACUCUUCUGGGUUUUUUUAAGAGGCUUAAAAUUGACAUUUUUUGUGCAUUUUAGACGUACAUAAAUUUUUUUUUAUUCGUCUAUCUUAAUGCCAAAAUCUAUUAGAUGCGACCAUAUCAUGUGGUUUCGUGUCCAUAAAUUUUUCAUGAUUUGACCUCAAAUCAGGUAGGAACACCCGCUGAACUUAA